rnacentral:rRNA from 1 species
UGGGGAAUUUUGCGCAAUGGGGGAAACCCUGACGCAGCAACGCCGCGUGAGUGAUGAAGGCCUUCGGGUCGUAAAGCUCUGUCAGUGGGAAAGAAAUGCACGAGGGUCAAUACCCCUUGUGCUUGACGGUACCCACAAAGGAAGCACCGGCUAACUCCGUGCCAGCAGCCGCGGUAAUACGGAGGGUGCGAGCGUUGUUCGGAUUUAUUGGGCGUAAAGCGCGUGUAGGCGGCUUCUUAAGUCUGAUGUGAAAGCCCCGGGCUCAACCUGGGAAGUGCAUUGGAAACUGGGGAACUUGAAUACGGGAGAGGGUAGUGGAAUUCCUGGUGUAGGAGUGAAAUCCGUAGAUAUCAGGAGGAACACCGGUGGCGAAGGCGGCUACCUGGACCGAUAUUGACGCUGAGACGCGAAAGCGUGGGGAGCAAACAGG